rnacentral:lncRNA from 1 species
UUUUCUUCCUCUUCCUGGAGCCUUUGCUGAGACAGACUCUCAGUCUGCUUCCUUCACUAUCACCCCUGUCAGCAGUUCUGUAACAGGAUUAAAGGGAUACCACAGUUUCCAAAAAUAGAGGUUCAAGAGGCUUACUGCCCAGCCCAGGGAAAUCAAAAUAUUCAGUUUUAUAUUACUUGGGAUACAGGUUUUCAGUGACCCACUUUGAAACUUUGUGUGUAGAAAUUGAAAAUGGUUACAAAAUCACUUUUGUAUAAACUUCAGUUGGAGUUCAUUGGAACUUUAUCUGAACAGUUUUUUAGAAAGAAUUUCACAAAAAGGUAGAUUAUCUCUUGUCUUCUAAUAACUGGAGGGAUAAAGAACAAAUCAGGCAGGGACUCUAAGUGUUUUUACCAUUUUAAAAGAGGAAAUGUCAUGUUUUAUUGUGACUACUUUGUUCCUACUUGGUUGUAGUUUGAGAUUUAGCCCUGGGUGUUUUGUUGUUGUGGUUCUGUUUGUAAUGCUCCAUCGGCAUUGUGAACAGAGAACUGUGAGAUGCAAAGAGGAUUGAGUCUGAGGGUUGGGUCUGCGUAGUCCUGGACUUGGUAUUAUCUUCCCCUAUUUUCUAGAUGUUUGACACAGGCAGGCCAUGUAAACUUUGCACAAUAGCCUAUCCUUUGAUAUAUAAAGGUACCAUAAUUUGCACUGUUGAUAUGAAAAGAGAUGUUAUGGUGUGGGAGAGCUGGUUCAGUGGUUAAGAGCACUGGCUGCUCUUGCAGAGGCCCUGAGUCUGGUUCUAGAACCCAUGUCAUGCAGCUCAUAACUGCCUGUAACUCCAGCCCUUUCCUGAUCUCUGUGAGCACCCACUUAUACAUGGCAUACACUCAGACAGACGUGUGUACAUACAGAAUAAAUAAAUAAACAAAUAUUCUAGUUAAAAAGUAGAGCUACUAUAUAUGCAAGUUUCAAAUGCAGUGGUGGCUGGCAACUGUCUUUCAUAAUAAUGAUGAAGAUAAUGUGAAGUUUAAAAUGCCAUUAUAAAAAAUUAUUUGUUACAAAAUAAAAUUUAAAAUAAAUACAUGGAUAAAUAAAAUCACUACUCAGACAAAUAUAAAAUGAAUAUGUACAAAGUUGUAUUUAAUUCAUUAGUUAAUAAAGGAACCAGAAAACUUUUUAUGGUCAGUCCAAUGAACACUUGAAAACUCGGGCAUCUGCAGGCAAUGAAACGUAAAUGCUAGGAUAGGAUUUCUGAAUUCGAUGUAAAACAAUUUAAUAUUCAACAGAUUACAACAUUUAUUUUGUUUCUCUGGGCAGAAAUUAUGGCCAUCUCUAUUUCACAGCAGCCUUCAAGUUUGUAAGUAACUUAAUAGUCUAGAACUUUUAAUCAGUACUGGCAAUAAGAUGUUGUGAAUGCAUUUCUCUACUACAACAAGGCUACAGUCUGUAAUGGUCAAGUCAAAUCAGGUCCUCAUUGUGUUUUGAAUAAAGUUUUAUUGAAGACUGUGCC